rnacentral:rRNA from 1 species
AUACGGAAGGUCCGGGCGUUAUCCGGAUUUAUUGGGUUUAAAGGGAGCGCAGGCGGAGAUGCAAGCGUGACGUCAAAUUUCGGGGCUCAACCCCGUCUCGCGUCGCGAACUGCGUCCCUUGGUUGCGGGAAGGGGAGGCGGAACUCGUGGUGUAGCGGUGAAAUGCAUAGAUAUCACGAAGAACUCCGAUCGCGAAGGCAGCCUUCCGGCCCGUCAACGACGCUCAUGCUCGAAGGUGCGUGUAUCAAACAGGAUUAGAUACCCUGGUAGUCCGCACAGUAAACGAUGGACACCCGCGGUUUGGCCUGUAUGGCUGAGCCGCCAAGCGAAAGCGUUAAGUGUCCCACCUGGGGAGUACGCCGGCAACGGUGAAACUCAAAGGAAUUGGCGGGG